rnacentral:rRNA from 1 species
AUACGGAGGGUGCAAGCGUUGUUCGGAAUCACUGGGCGUAAAGGGCGCGCAGGCGGUUUGGUAAGUCAGAUGAGAAAGCCCACGGCUCAACCGUGGAAGUGCAUUUGAAACUGCCAGACUUGAGUACCAGAGGGGAAAGUGGAAUUCCCGGUGUAGAGGUGAAAUUCGUAGAUAUCGGGAGGAAUACCGGUGGCGAAGGCGACUUUCUGGCUGGAUACUGACGCUGAGGCGCGAAAGCGUGGGGAGCAAACAGGAUUAGAAACCCCGGUAGUCC